AGCGCAGGCGGUGCGGCAAGUCUGAUGUGAAAGCCCGGGGCUCAACCCCGGUACUGCAUUGGAAACUGUCGUACUAGAGUGUCGGAGGGGUAAGCGGAAUUCCUAGUGUAGCGGUGAAAUGCGUAGAUAUUAGGAGGAACACCAGUGGCGAAGGCGGCCUACUGGGCACCAACUGACGCUGAGGCUCGAAAGUGUGGGUAGCAAACA
rnacentral:rRNA from 1 species